rnacentral:rRNA from 1 species
GGCUCAUUAAAUCAGCUAUGGUUCCUUAGAUCGUACAUACUACAUGGAUAACUGUAGUAAUUCUAGAGCUAAUACAUGCCACUAUGCCCUGACCCGCAAGGGAACGGGUGGAUUUAUUAGAACAGAACCAACCGGUUGUGGCUUCGGCUGCUUCCGUUGCACUCUGUGAUGACUCUGGAUAACUUCACUGAUCGCAGUCGGCCUUGUGUCGGCGACGGAUCUUUCAAAUGUCUGCCCUAUCAAUUUUCGAUGGUAGGUGACCUGCCUACCAUGGUGAUAACGGGUAACGGGGAAUCAGGGUUCGAUUCCGGAGAGGGAGCCUGAGAAACGGCUACCACUUCCAAGGAAGGCAGCAGGCACGCAAACUACCCAAUCCCGGCACGGGGAGGUGGUGACGAAAAAUACGGAUACGGGACUCGUAUGAGGCUCCGUAAUUCGAAUGAGUACAAUUUAAAUCCUUUAACGAGGAUCAACUGGAGGGCAAGUCUGGUGCCAGCAGCCGCGGUAACUCCAGCUCCAGAAGCGUAUAUUAAAGUUGUUGCAGUUAAAAAGCUCGUAGUUGGAUCUGGGUCGUAUGGCUACGUGCCGUUGCUCGCAUUCUCGGCUUGGUUUCGACUAGGUCAAGUUUGUGGGUCGGUGUCGUGGCUGUGCAGCCUUUCUGCCGUGUCUGUUUCGACAGGUGCUGACUUAAAGGAUGGGCUUGUCUCGUUGGUUGGUUGGCAUGC